rnacentral:rRNA from 1 species
UACGGAGGGUGCGAGCGUUGUCCGGAAUCAUUGGGCGUAAAGCGCGUGUAGGCGGCUUGGCAAGUCGGGUGUGAAAUCCCUCAGCUUAACUGAGGAAGUGCGCCCGAAACUGCUGAGCUUGAAUACCGGAGAGGAUGGCGGAAUUCCCCAAGUAGAGGUGAAAUUCGUAGAUAUGGGGAGGAACACCGGUGGCGAAGGCGGCCAUCUGGACGGCUAUUGACGCUGAGACGCGAAAGCGUGGGGAGCAAACAGG